rnacentral:rRNA from 1 species
GACGAACCGUGCGAACGUUGUUCGGAUUCACUGGGCUUAAAGGGCGCGUAGGCGGGUCAGCAAGUCCGGGGUGAAAGCUUUCGGCUCAACCGGAAAAGGGCCUUGGAUACUGCUGGUCUGGAGGAAGGUAGGGGCGUGUGGAACUUCCGGUGGAGCGGUGAAAUGCGUAGAUAUCGAGAGGAACACCUGCGGCGAAGGCGGGUUGCUGGGCCGACACUGACGCUGAUGCGCGAAAGCCAGGGGAGCGAACAGG